rnacentral:rRNA from 1 species
GACGAACGCUGGCGGCGUGCUUAACACAUGCAAGUCGAACGGAAAGGCCCUGCUUUUGUGGGGUGCUCGAGUGGCGAACGGGUGAGUAACACGUGAGUAACCUGCCCUUGACUUUGGGAUAACUUCAGGAAACUGGGGCUAAUACCGGAUAGGAGCUCCUGCUGCAUGGUGGGGGGUGGAAAGUUUCGGCGGUUGGGGAUGGACUCGCGGCUUAUCAGCUUGUUGGUGGGGUAGUGGCUUACCAAGGCCUUGACGGGUAGCCGGCCUGAGAGGGUGACCGGCCACAUUGGGACUAAGAUACGGCCCAGACUCCUACGGGAGGCAGCAGUGGGGAAUAUUGCACAAUGGGCGGAAGCCUGAUGCAGCAACGCCGCGUGCGGGAUGACGGCCUUCGGGUUGUAAACCGCUUUCGCCUGUGGCGAAGCGUGAGUGACGGUAAUGGGUAAAGAAGCACCGGCUAACUACGUG